CCUACGGGAGGCAGCAGUGGGGAAUAUUGGACAAUGGGGGCAACCCUGAUCCAGCCAUGCCGCGUGUGUGAAGAAGGCCCUCGGGUUGUAAAUCACUUUCAGUGAGGAAGAACGCCUGGUGGUUAAUACCCAUCAGGAAAGACAUCACUCACAGAAGAAGCACCGGCUAACUCCGUGCCAGCAGCCGCGGUAAUACGGAGGGUGCGAGCGUUAAUCGGAAUUACUGGGCGUAAAGCGCGCGUAGGUGGCUUGAUAAGCCGGUUGUGAAAGCCCCGGGCUCAACCUGGGAACGGCAUCCGGAACUGUCAAGCUAGAGUGCAGGAGAGGAAGGUAGAAUUCCCGGUGUAGCGGUGAAAUGCGUAGAGAUCGGGAGGAAUACCAGUGGCGAAGGCGGCCUUCUGGACUGACACUGACACUGAGGUGCGAAAGCGUGGGUAGCAAACAGGAUUAGAUACCCUAGUAGUC
rnacentral:rRNA from 1 species